UUAUACUUAGACUUAGCCGAUUGCGUUAUAACCGAAACAGGAAUUUCCACCAAAAAGAUAGCUCUAGUGUAUUACUUUUGUGCAGAUCAAUCGUUAUUACAAAAUAUUGCAAAAUGCUUCGGAGAAAAACGUUUGAUAUAUAAUGACAGACAAGAUGAGGAAAUGAAUGAAGACAUAGUCGUUGAUACAUUUACUAAUUGUUUCGUAAAAAAUUAUCUUAACAAAUAAAAAUAAUAAAAA